GAUGAACGCUGGCGGCGUGCCUAAUACAUGCAAGUCGAGCGAAGCGGGGACGGGUGAGUAACACGUGGAUAACCUCCUAUAAGACUGGGAUAACUUCGGGAAAACGGAGCUAAAACGGAUACGUAUAGGUUGUUCCGCGCUGCAUUAGCUAGUUGGUAAGGUAACGGCUUACCAAGGCAACGAUGCAUAGCCGACCUGAGAGGGUGAGCGGCCACACUGGAACUGAGACACGGUCCAGACUCCUACGGGAGGCAGCAGUAGGGAAUCUUCCGCAAUGGGCGAAAGCCUGACGGAGCAACGCCGCGUGAGUGAUGAAGGUCUUCGGAUCGUAAAAUUCUGUUAGUAGGGAAGCGGUACCUAAUCAGAAAGCAACGGCUAACUACGUGCCAGCAGCCGCGGUAAUUC
rnacentral:rRNA from 1 species